AGUCUUAUAGUUUAUAAAAAAUUUUAAAAUGCAAAUUUAAAGAAAAAAUUUUUAAGACUU
rnacentral:tRNA from 1 species